UACGGAGGGUGCAAGCGUUGUCCGGAAUCACUGGGCGUAAAGGGCGCGUAGGCGGCUCAUGAAGGCUGUGGUGAAAGUCCGGGGCUCAACCUCGGAUCGGCCGUGGCGACUCGUGGGCUGGAGCACUGUAGAGGCGGGUGGAAUUCCGGGUGUAGCGGUGGAAUGCGUAGAGAUCCGGAAGAACACCAGUGGCGAAGGCGGCCCGCUGGGCAGUGGCUGACACUGAGGCGCGACAGCGUGGGGAGCAAACAGG
rnacentral:rRNA from 1 species